GGGGGCGUAGCUUAGUUGGGAGAGUGUCGCGUUCGCAACGCGAAGGUCGUGAGUUCGAGUCUCAUCGUCUCCA
rnacentral:tRNA from 1 species